rnacentral:snRNA from 1 species
GUCUACUAUCCAGCGAAAC